AUGGCCGUGGCGGCACGGGAAGNNNNNNNNNNNNNNNNNNNNGACGCGUGGGCGGAGAUCCUGGCCAGCGGCGGCGGCGGCGGGCCUCGCAUCGGCGCGGUGUACGAGCGCCGCCGGGCGCAGGAGGCGUCGAGGCAGAGGAACGCGGACGCGAGAGGCGGCGUCGCGGCGGCUGUCGAGAACCGGCCGAGCUUCGCGCCGGUCAAGCGGACCAGCUGGAACCGGUCGCUCUCCAUCAGAGGGCGGGAAAGUAUAUUUUUUGCACCCGGGACAAAUCUUCAGCCUCAACAGAAACUCUGCAGAGCACUCAAACGACCACCAAAACCGUGUAACAGAGUGAAAAAACCUCUUGGAGGGCCACCCGACUUGAGUAAAGAAAAGGCUUAUUUUGAAGAAGUCGAUGCUUUUGAGCUGAUGGAAGAGAGCCCUUCGCCCAAGAACUUUGGCACAUGGGCAGGAGGGAUGGAGCAGAGUCUCAUUGUGCAUGAUCUGCCUGCAAUAUUGGAGAGGUGGAAAAUCUUCAAGCUUGCAAGAUGUGCAGCAUCCAAUCAAUUGUUUGAUAUCAUGGAGACCCCACUUAUCCCAUCAGUCAUCAGUAACUGCAGUACAGAAAAUUAUUCUGAAAAAGCUUAUAGGACACCUGAAAAGGACAGAGGGUCAGGGAUGCACCCAACAAGAAGGACAAUCCUUUCAGGAUACACUAAUGAGAGUACAAAGAACAUUGCAGGCGAAACCAGCAUUGUCACGUCCUUUAGUGAGCUUAACAUUGAGGAACCCCCCCGCAUCAGCAUUCCUUCAUCAAGUGGUGAAGCUCUGACUGCCUCUGCACAACUUCUCAUGGUUUGCAGGCAAUCUGCACCAGCUACUUUAGCAGAUGUUUUUUCUGCUUACUGCAAGUUAGACAGCAUAGUGAAGCUUGGUGAAGGAACUUAUGGCGAGGCCUACAGGGCUGGAAGCACUGUCUGUAAAGUGGUACCCUUCGAUGGGGAUUCAUUGGUCAAUGGAGAGACUCAGAAGAAAUCGGAAGAAGUACUCGAGGAAGCUUUGCUUUGUCUAACACUAAAUAAUUUGAGAACGGACCAGGGAGAUAAAGGAAAAGACUAUUCAUGCGAUGGCUUCAUUGAGACUAAAGACUUUUGGGUUUGUAAGGGACCAUAUGACCCUUCACUGAUUAGUGCUUGGGAAGAUUGGGAUUCCAAACAUGAAUCUGAGAAUGAUCAUCCAAAGGACUUCUCAAACGAUCAGCAUUAUAUUAUCUUUGUACAAGCAGACGGUGGGAGAGACCUUGAAAAAUUCGCUUUACUCGACUAUAAUGAGGCUCGCAGUCUACUGCUUCAAGUUACUGCCUCCUUAGCUGUAGCUGAGAGUGCCUGCGAAUUUGAACAUCGAGAUUUGCAUUGGGGUAAUAUUCUUUUGGCUCGUGAUGAAAUGUCAAACAAGGAUCAUACAAUGAGCAUCACUCUUCAAGGGAAGAGGAUUCGUGCUAGAACUUUUGGUUUGACCAUCUCCAUAAUUGACUUCACUCUUUCUCGGAUCAAUACAGGGAAUGCCAUUCUCUUUCUUGACCUGUCUGAGGACCCUGACUUAUUUAAAGGACCAAAAGGAGACAAGCAGGCAGAAACUUAUCGCAAGAUGAAACAAAUUACCAAGGAAUGCUGGGAAGGCAGCUUCCCAAAGACGAAUGUCGUCUGGCUAAUUUACCUUGUGGAUAUUGUGCUACAGAAGAAAUACGAGGCGUGCAACUCCACAGAUGAGAGAGAGCUCCGGUCGUUCAAGAAACGGCUUUCCUCGUGCGGUUCUGCUAGAGAUUGCCUUGCUGAUCCCAUUUUCAGCGAUCUGCUGUUGGAAGAGGAGGAUGUGCGACCCUCAGCAAUGCCUCCCCUGUAG
rnacentral:rRNA from 1 species